AUAAUAGUGAUGAUGGAGAAGAGUACAGAAUGAGCUGUCUAAAGAGAGGGAAACAGAUGGUGAAAGUUUCCCGGCUGAGCGUGUUCUGGAAGGUCGCUCCUGAUGCUGCAUCUUUGAACGCUUACGUUAGUAGGAGAAUGCCGGUUACAAACCGUUAUCAAUUAAUGAAGUGUACAGGUCUGUAUGUGACCUGUAAACAAAGGUGGUACCACGGAAAAUAGAACUUUUUCGUCCUUUCU
rnacentral:ncRNA from 1 species